rnacentral:rRNA from 1 species
CAGAGGGGGCAAGCGUUGUUCGGAAUUACUGGGCGUAAAGGGCGCGUAGGCGGCCUGCUAAGUCGAACGUGAAAUCCCCGGGCUCAACCCGGGAACUGCGUCCGAUACUGGCAGGCUUGAAUCCGGGAGAGGGAUGUGGAAUUCCAGGUGUAGCGGUGAAAUGCGUAGAUAUCUGGAGGAACACCGGUGGCGAAGGCGGCAUCCUGGACCGGUAUUGACGCUGAUGCGCGAAAGCCAGGGGGAGCAAACGGGAUUAGAUACCCCGGUAGUCCUGGCCCUAAACGAUGAAUGCUUGGUGUGGCGGGUAUCGAUCCCUGCCGUGCCGAAGCUAACGCAUUAAGCAUUCCGCCUGGGGAGUACGGUCGCAAGGCUG